GUGGGGAAUAUUGCACAAUGGGCGAAAGCCUGAUGCAGCAACGCCGCGUGAGGGACGACGGCCUUCGGGUUGUAAACCUCUUUUAGUAGGGAAGAAGCGAAAGUGACGGUACCUGCAGAAAAAGCACCGGCUAACUACGUGCCAGCAGCCGCGGUAAUACGUAGGGUGCAAGCGUUAUCCGGAAUUAUUGGGCGUAAAGAGCUCGUAGGCGGUCUGUCGCGUCUGCUGUGAAAACUGGAGGCUCAACCUCCAGCCUGUAGUGGGUACGGGCAGACUAGAGUGCGGUAGGGGAGAUUGGAAUUCCUGGUGUAGCGGUGGAAUGCGCAGAUAUCAGGAGGAACACCGAUGGCGAAGGCAGAUCUCUGGGCCGUAACUGACGCUGAGGAGCGAAAGCGUGGGGAGCGAACAGGAUUAGAAACCCUGGUAGUCC
rnacentral:rRNA from 1 species